rnacentral:lncRNA from 1 species
GAUAGACCAUUUACAUUGAGUUAAAAAAUAAUUAUACUAUUUAUGACUCCCUAAACUAAGGAAUAUAAUUGGAGUUCAAAUUUUAUAGAGACCUCUUAAAAUAACUUUUGUGUUAUAAAUCCACAUGUUAUGGGUUUAUAGGUUAUGGAUGCCCACAAUAAUAGCCACUAUUAACCUAUCAUAAAAUACCCAUCAUUAUAUACUUGUAACCUACCAGUUAUGGUUGGUAAAUGAUUUAGGCUCUCUACCCCUAUAAAUAGUGGAUCCAAAUAUGAAUGGAAUACAAGUUGAUUUGAGCAAAUUAUAUUGCCUCUUUCUUCCUCUUAUUUCUCCUUACAAAUUCCAUAGUUUCACAACAUGUUAACAGCACGAAAGCUCUUGGUAAUGUUCUUCUCUAUAGCUUACAGUCAUCCAUAUAUAUUUUAUUUUAUCUACAAAACUCGAUGACGGCUGAUUUUUUUAAAAUCAUGUUUUUGACAUGAUUUAAAUUGUUGAGAGUAUCACCUAAUUUAAAGUCUGUAUGCUUAUGGGUCCUCCAAUGAAUGCAUGAACAUGUAGUUUUUUUUUUUUUUUGGUUAUAUGACCACUAUUAAUUGAAAACUUGUAUGCAUGCAUGUUGUAGCUAUUUAAAACACGAGUAGUAUGCAAUUUUAUUUUUUUUUUCUUCUUUUCUACUUUGAAGUUUUUAUUUUAUUUUAUUUAAACACAAUAUGUUAUGAUGAGUUUUCUUUUUCUUUUUCUUUUUAACAAGAGAUUAGGGCCUGAAGUUCCUCGAUCCUCAUAAUAGAUACGGACCUGAAGUUCUUUUAUCGAAUCAAAACCUAAGUUUCUGUGAUUCAAAAUAAUUGAAGGCAUGAAGUUCCUCAAUUCUAAUUGUCUAAACAUCCCAAACCAGAAGUUUUGGUGAUUAUAUUUAUGUUUUACUAUAUCAACAAUUUUUCUUGAGCUCUAACAUAUUCCAUUUUAUUUUAUAUAGAAAAUAUUGAACUUGGCAAAGCUCAAAUUUGUUGCACUUGACAUCUCUGGAAAGAACUACCUUUCAUGGAUCAAUGAUGCUGAGGUUCAUCUUGAGGCUAUGAACCUAGGGGAAACCAUUAAGGAAGGCAAUGAGGCAUUCUCUGUGGAUCAAGCGAAAGCCAUGAUUUUUCUUAGACGCCACAUCCAUGAAGGAUUAAAGUGUGAAUACCUUACGGUCAAGGAUCCGUUGGCCCUUUGGGGAAAUCUCAAGGAAAGAUAUGACCAUAAAAGGAUGGUUAUUCUUCCUAAGGCUCGCCAUGACUGGAUGCACUUGCGUCUACAUGAUUUCAAAUGAGUGGCUGACUAUAAUUUUGCUCUAUUUAGAAUUAGCUCGAAGUUACGACUUUAUGGAGAGAAUAUAACUUAUGCAUACCUAUUGGAGAAAACUUUCAUCACAUUUCAUGCCUCCAAUGUGGUUUUGCAACAACAAUAUCGAGAGUGAGGUUUCUAAAAGUAUUCAGACCUCAAAUCUUGUCUACUUCUAGCUGAACAGAAUAAUGAACUUCUGAUGCAGAACCAUCAGUCCCGUCCAACUAGAUCUGCACCACUCCAUGAAGUGAAUGCUGCCUUGGCACCAUAUCAUGAGGCAUAUGCUACCUCAUCACAUGGCGACCACCGUCGAGGACAUGGUCGUGGUAGGGGUACCCGUAAUGGUCAAGGCCAAAAUAGUAAUAGCAACUGCUUGGGUCCAAGAAAUACCCAAGCAUCUCAUAACCACCAGAAGUGGAACAAACAAGACAAGACAAAUGGCUCUCAAUCUUUAGCUGACAGGGUGAUUGAGGAAGCAUGUCAUAGGUGUGGUACAAAUGGGCAUUGGGCACAUGUAUGCCGCACGCCAAAACAUUUGGUUGAUCUUUACCAAACCUCAAUCAAGGGCAAAGAAAAAAAGGUUGAGACAUAUUGGAUGGAUGCUGAUCCAACAGAGUUAGAACCAGUGGAUGCAACUCACCUUGAUGUUUCAAACUUCUUUGUUAUACUGAUGGCAAAUCUUUUGAUCCUAUGAUUGAUGCUGGGAUGCUCCCCAAUUAAUUUUGUUGUAUUUUUUUUUUCUUCGCUUUAUACUGUUUGAGCUAAGUUUAUUUCCUGUUUAUUUUUCUUUUUCCUUUUCACAUGUUAGUUUGGAUCUUGUUCAUUGAAUAAAAUUGAAUAAAAGACUUUAUUUGCAUUUUAUUUUUCCGAAUAACAUUUAAUAUAUAUACAUAUAUUCUUAUAAAUUUUAAGGCAUGGAAAACAAUCAUGGAUGCUCUCGUUUUGGGGGAAAUGACGAAGAUAUUUGUCUUAAGGAUAGUGCAACUAUGCACACAAUUCUUCGAGAUAAAAAAUAUUUUGAUAAUUUACAUUUAUCAAAAGCAAAGGUAACUACCAUAUAUACUAGGUUUUGCAAACCUAAUUGACGGCUCUGGAAGAGCUCAAAUUUUGUUACCCAAUGGGACUCAAUUCUCCAUUGAUAAUGCUUUGUACUCUUUGAGAUCGAGAAGAAAUUUACUUAGCUUUAAAGACAUUUGAAUGAACGGAUAUCAUAUUGAAACUAGAAAGGAUCACAAUGUGGAGUAUCUUUGCAUUACCACUAAUAUCAACAGCCAGAGGCGUAUAUUGGAAACACUUCCUACUUUCUCUUUUGGGUUGUAUUAUACAACCAUCAAAGCAGUUGAAGUCCAUGCUAUCAUGAACCAGAAGUUCAUUGACCCAACGACUUUCAUGUUUUGGCAUGAUCGUCUUGGGCAUCCUGGAUCUACAAUGAUGCGUAGGAUUAUUUCAAAUUCAAAUGGACAUCCUUUAAAGCCUUACCAUAGUACUUUGUCCAUUGAUCAGUCUUGCAAAGCUUGCUCCCAAGGGAAAUUGAUCAUCAGACCAUCUCCGUCAAAAUUUGACUUUGAAUGUCCAUCUUUCUUACAGAGAAUCUAAGGGGAUAUUUGUGGGCCAAUUCACCCAUCUUGUGGACCAUUUCGUUAUUUUAUGGUUUUAAUCAAUGUAUCUACAAGAUGGUCACACGUUUGCUUAUUGUCAACUCGCAAUGUUGCUUUUGCUAGGCUCCUUGCUCAGAUAAUUAAAUUAUGAGCACAAUUCCCUGAUUAUCAAAUAAAGUCAAUUUGACUUGAUAACGCUGGUGAGUUUACCUCCCAAACUUUUUAUGCCUAUUGCAUGUCACUUGAGAUUGAUGUUGAGCACCCAGUUCCCCACGUCCAUACUCAAAAUGGAUUAGCAGAAGCUUUAUUAAGCGUCUCCAGUUCAUUGCUCGCACUUUGCUAUUGAAGACAAAGUUGCCAACUUCUGCUUGGGGACAUGCAAUUUUACAUAUAGCAACUUUAGUCUGCUUGAGGCCCAUUGCCCAACACCAAUUCUCCCAUUUACAACUUGCCUUUGGGAGACAACCCAAUAUAUCACAUUUAAGGGUUUUUGGUUGUGCAAUUUAUGUGCCAAUUGCACCCCCACAACGCACUAAAAUGGGUCCUCAACAUCGAUUGGGAAUAUACAUUGGUUUUGAUUCACCAACUAUCAUUCGCUAUCUCAAACCUAUGACAUGAGAUACUUUUAUAGCACGCUUUGUGGACUCUCACUAUGAUGAGACAUUUUUCCUGCGGUUAGGGGGAGAAAAGAUCGUUCCUGAAGAACGGCGUGAAUUAGGUUGGAACAUAUCCAUUAUGUCUCAUCUUGACCCUCGUACAACUGAAAGUGAAAAUGAAGUACAAAAGAUUGUCCACCUCCAGCAAAUUGCUAAUCAAAUGCUAGAUGCAUUCACUGACAUACGAAAAGUGACAAAAUCACAUAUACCUGCAGCAAAUACACCAGCAAGGAUUGAUAUCCCAAUCAGAUUAACCAAUUUUGCAGCAAAUGAAUCAUCUACUGCACGCCUGAAGCGAGGUAGACCUAUUGGUUCAAAGGACUCAGCUCCUAGAAAGCGAAAAUCGAAAGCAUAUUCCAACCCCAAUGAAAACGCUCAUGAAGAUAUUAUUGGGAAAGAGAUUGACCUUGAACCUACAAUUCAUCCAGAGAGUGAAAGUGUCAUUGAAAAGACACAAGCCAAUGAAGAGGAAAAUAUAUGUAAUACAAAAAUUUCUGUAAAUUUCACAUGCAAUGAUGAAUUAUGCGACCGUAGUGAAAUGGUUAUCGAUGAUAUAUUUUCUUUCGCAGUAGCUGCUGAAAUUAUAAAAGGUCAUGAAGAUAUUGAACCACGAUCUAUUGAUGAAUGCAAAGAGAGGCCUGAUUGGCCAAAGUUGAAAGACGCAAUCCAAGUUGAGUUAAAUUCCUUGGAAAAAUGUGGUGUAUUCGGACCUAUGGUUCAAACACCGCAAGGUAUAAAACCUAUGGGAUAUAAAUGGGUGUUCACAAGAAAGCGUAAUGAGAAAAAUGAGAUUGCAAGGGAUAAGGCACGACUUGUUGCGCAAGGAUUUUCUCAAAGGCCUAGGAUUGAUUAUGAAGAAACAUAUUCUCCUGCUAUGGAUGCAAUUACGUUCCGUUAUUUAAUAAGUCUUGUAGUUUCAGAAAAACUUGACAUGCGUCUUAUGGACGUUGUUACUGCAUGCUUGUAUGGGGAGUUAGAUGCCAAUAUUUAUAUGAAAGUCCCAGAAGGACUCAAGUUGGCAGAAUCAAACACUAAAUCACGGAACAUGUACUCUAUUAAGUUGAGACAUUCACUAUAUGGGUUGAAACAAUCCGGACGAAUGUGGUAUAACUGUCUUAGUGAAUAUUUGAUUAAGGAAGACUACAUCAAUGAUCCCAUAUGCCCUUGUGUUUUUAUAAAGAAAUCGAAUUUUGGAUUUGCAAUCGUAGCAUUAUAUGUCGACGACAUGAACUUAAUUGGAACUCCUGAAGAGAUCAUUAAAACUGCUGAAUAUUUAAAGUGUGAAUUUGAGAUGAAAGACCGUGGAAAAACUAAAUAUUGUUUGGGCUUGCAAAUCGAGCAUCAUCCCAAUGGUAUUCUUGUCCAUCAAUCAGCUUACACUAAAAAAAAAAUUUGAAGCGAUUUUAUAUGGAUAAUGCCCACUCGUUGAGCACUCCAAUGGUAGUUCGUCCAUUAGACACAAAUAAACAUCCAUUCCGUCCUAAAAAGGAUGAUGAAAUGAUACUCGAUCCAAAAGUACCAUAUCUUAGUGCGAUAGGUGCUUUAUUAUAUUUAGCCCAAUGUACUAGGCCAGAUAUUGCAUUUCCAGUAAAUUUAUUAGCCAGGUAUAGCUCAGCUCCAAUGCGUAGACACUGGAAUGGUAUAAAGCAUAUCUUGCGCUACCUUCGCGGAACAACUGAUAUAGCCCUGUUUUAUUCAAACGAACCUUUCAAGGGUCCAAAUCUUGUUAGAUACAAAGAUUCUAGGUAUCUCUCUGAUCCACAUAAGGGUCGCUCCCAAACUAGUUAUGUGUUUACUUGUAGAAAUACAGCAAUCUCAUGGCGAUCUACAAAACAAACUAUAGUUGCUACCUCUUCUAAUGUGUUUGGUUAAGAUCCCUAGUUCAUCAUAUUCGGAAAACAUGUGAUCUUUCUUCAAUAACAAAAGCUCUGACAAUCAUGUAUGAAGACAAUGUUGCUGUAUAGCUCAAAUUAAAGAAGGGUUUAUCAAGGGUGACAGAACCAAACAUAUACCACCAAAGUUCUUCUACCCACAUGAGCUUCAGAAGAAUCAAGAUAUUGAAGUCAAACAAAUUCGUUCCCAAGAUAACCUAGAAGACCUCUUCACCAAAACUCUUCCAAAGUCUAUAUUGCAGAAGUUGGUAUAUGGUACAGGGAUGGGAUGACUUUACAAGCAAGCAGAUUAUUGAAGAUCAUGGGGAGAUAUCAAUCGAGGAAACUCCUCAGUUUUACUACAUCGGAUGUAUGUGCAAUGUACUCUUUUUUUCUUCGAUCAGGUUUUUAUUCCAUGUGAUUUUUCCUGACAAGGUUUUUAACGAGGCAACAUUUAGCACGUCCAACAUGAUGUCAUUAUAUGGUGGACAUCCAAGGGGGAAUGUUAUAAAUCCAUAUGUUAUGGGUUUAUAGGUUAUGGAUGCCCACAAUAAUAGCCACUAUUAACCUAUCAUAAUACCCAUCAUUAUAUACUUGUAACCUAUCAAUUAUGGUUGGUAAAUGAUUUAGGCCUCUCUACCCCUAUAAACAGUGGAUCCAAAUAUGAAGGGAAUACAAGUUGAUUUGAGC